rnacentral:rRNA from 1 species
AAUGAACGUUGGCGGCGUGGAUUAGGCAUGCAAGUCGUGCGGAAAGGCUCCUUCGGGAGUACUCGAGCGGCGAAAGGGCGAGUAACGCGUGGAUAUCUACCCCCUGGACUGGGAUAGCGGCUGGAAACUGCCGGUAAUACCAGAUAACGUCUGCGGACCAAAGGUGUGAUUCCGCCGGGGGAUGAGUCCGCGUCCUAUUAGCUAGUUGGUGGGGUAAUGGCCUACCAAGGCAAAGAUGGGUACCGGGUGUGAGAGCAUGGCCCGGCUCACUGGGACUGAGACACUGCCCAGACACCUACGGGUGGCUGCAGUCGAGAAUCUUCGGCAAUGGGCGCAAGCCUGACCGAGCGACGCCGCGUGCGGGAUGAAGGCCUUCGGGUUGUAAACCGCUGUCAGAGGGGAGGAAAUGCAUGGGGGUUCUCCCUCAUGUUUGACCUAUCCUCAGAGGAAGUACGGGCUAAGUUCGUGCCAGCCGCCGCCGUAAAAC